UACGUAGGGGGCGAGCGUUGUCCGGAUUUAUUGGGCGUAAAGAGCGUGUAGGCGGCUUGGUAGGUCUGCUGUGAAAACUCGGGGCUCAACCCCGAGACGUCGGUGGAAACCACCUGGCUAGAGUCCGGAAGAGGAGAGUGGAAUUCCUGGUGUAGCGGUGAAAUGCGCAGAUAUCAGGAAGAAUAUCCGUGGCGAAGGCGGCUCUCUGGUACGGCACUGACGCUGAGACGCGAAAAGCGUGGGGAGCGAACAGG
rnacentral:rRNA from 1 species